rnacentral:rRNA from 1 species
GAUGAACGCUGGCGGCGUGCCUAAUACAUGCAAGUCGAGCGAACAGACGAGGAGCUUGCUCCUCUGACGUUAGCGGCGGACGGGUGAGUAACACGUGGAUAACCUACCUAUAAGACUGGGAUAACUUCGGGAAACCGGAGCUAAUACCGGAUAAUAUAUUGAACCGCAUGGUUCAAUAGUGAAAGACGGUUUUGCUGUCACUUAUAGAUGGAUCCGCACCGCAUUAGCUAGUUGGUAAGGUAACGGCUUACCAAGGCUACGAUGCGUAGCCGACCUGAGAGGGUGAUCAGCCGCACUGGAAGUAGGCCACGGUCCAGACUCCUGAGGGAGGCAGCAGUAAAGAAUCUUCCACGAAUGGCGAAAGCCUAACACAGCAACGCCGCGUGAGUGAUGAAGGUCUUCGGAGCGAAAAACUCUGUUAUUAGGGAAGAACAAAUGUGUAAGUAACUAAGCACGACUUGACGGUACCUAAUCAGAAAGCCACGGCUAACUACGUG